CUACAAUAACGGGAAAAGCUAGUAUAAUUUUUGAUUUUCUGGGAACUGAAGACUUUGAACACAUAUGUCUGCAAGGAAAUGUGACAUAGGGCCUAAACAGGAAUGAAACAUCCAAGCAUGCUGAGGAGCUGCUCCUUGUGUAGAAACCUCAAGAAAGAAACCAAGAUUUUAUUAAGAUGCUACCAUGCCCACUCCAGUACUCUUGCCUGGAAAAUCCCAUGGACGGAGGAGGCAG